rnacentral:rRNA from 1 species
UACGAAGGGGGCUAGCGUUGUUCGGAAUCACUGGGCGUAAAGGGCGCGUAGGCGGCUUUAUAAGUCGGGGGGUGAAAGCCCGGGGCUCAACCCCGGAAUUGCCUUUAAGACUGCAUCGCUUGAAUCCGGGAGAGGUGAGUGGAAUUCCGAGUGUAGAGGUGAAAUUCGUAGAUAUUCGGAAGAACACCAGUGGCGAAGGCGGCUCACUGGACCGGCAUUGACGCUGAGGUGCGAAAGCGUGGGGAGCAAACAGG